AUUGAACGCUGGCGGCAGGCCUAACACAUACAAGUCGAGCGGAUGACGGGAGCUUGCUCCUUGAUUCAGCGGCGGACGGGUGAGUAAUGCCUAGGAAUCUGCCUGGUAGUGGGGGACAACGUUUCGAAAGGAACGCUAAUACCGCAUACGUCCUACGGGAGAAAGCAGGGGACCUUCGGGCCUUGCGCUAUCAGAUGAGCCUAAGUCGGAUUAGCUAGUUGGUGAGGUAAUGGCUCACCAAGGCGACGAUCCGUAACUGGUCUGAGAGGAUGAUCAGUCACACUGGAACUGAGACACGGUCCAGACUCCUACGGGAGGCAGCAGUGGGGAAUAUUGGACAAUGGGCGAAAGCCUGAUCCAGCCAUGCCGCGUGUGUGAAGAAGGUCUUCGGAUUGUAAAGCACUUUAAGUUGGGAGGAAGGGCAGUAAGUUAAUACCUUGCUGUUUUGACGUUACCGACAGAAUAAGCACCGGCUAACUCUGUGCCAGCAGCCGCCGUAAUAC
rnacentral:rRNA from 1 species